rfam:Otolemur garnettii contig112011, whole genome shotgun sequence.
GUGCUCACUUUGGCAGCACAUGUACUAAAAUUAGAACACUACAGAGAAGAUGAGCAUGGCCCCUACACGAGGAUGAUGCGUAAAUUCGUAAAAGAAAAAUCUGUUUA